rnacentral:lncRNA from 1 species
UACAAUGCACUGCAUUAAUUGAAUUCAGAGUGAAAAAGCCGUUGCAAGAAGUAACAUCCUCCUGAAUACUCUCGUUUUCUCCUGCAAAUUUACAGUAUGGGCAUCUUUUUUUAACAUCUUUCGUCAAAGAAGUGGAUUCAAAGCACAUUGUGGCCUCAGUAUAUUGACGUGAAACCAUGCAGAAAAUGCUACUUUCUCUCAACCUUGUGGAUGUUCCCUACUUCCCUAAGGAUCAGCAGCCUCUUGAAACAGAAUUCCUUGCGUCUAUGUUCCUUGGAUCUGAAAACAGUGCAUAAUGCAGGAGAUUCCACCCAAAAGCUAAACCACAAGUCCAAGCUGAAGUGGAAUAUUUCGCAAAAUUUGAUCUACACUCACCCGAUAGCUUUACUGCUAGAGAAAGGUUAUUUUUUCACUUCAUUAUACUUUAUAGAGAGAGAUUGGGGGAGGGGGAGGGGGAGGGGUGAGGUGUCGCCACAAACCUGAAUGGAUAAGCUGUAGAACUGAAAUUUCCAGUCAUGUUACUUGCAAUUUUAAUGAAUUACAGGAUUUACGAACUGACAUAAUAACGAUUUGGGUAAAAGUCUAAAAGAUUCCAGUAUUUUGAGUAUAUUUGUAAUUACUAUUCAUGAAGUUGACCUGUUUCAUAAUGUCUCAUGCUCACCCCCCCCCCUCCCCCACCCCAUCCACUUCAUAUCAGUUCUUAAAACAUGUUGCAAAUUAUAUAUACAUUGUAAGUUGGUAAUAGAGAAAAAUUGAGUGAGGUAAAUGCAAUACAAAUCGAAUCCAUUAUUAAGCAAUUAAGACUUGUACAGGUACGGCACGUGAACCUCCAACAAAUUUCAAAAAUGAUGCAGUUUGGUUUUAUGUGUAAAGUGAAUGGCAACAAAGGACCUACCGGUGCGUGUCUUUGUAUGUUUUGGACUGCGCAUAUUCAGUGAGCUCUUUUUAAUAAUAUACACUGUGUAAAGCGUAUUGAACUCUAUGUCAGCAUUUAAAAAACUCUGCGAUUUUGACUGUUUUGCAGCAUCAUAUCUGAGCGAGCCUUAACGGGACUUGGUAAAAUUGUUCAGAUGAGAGACAAUUGUGCUAAGGUAUUGACUUCAAUGCUAUAUGUACACUUAAAGAUAAUCUGAAAGUUUGAGUGAAAAAAGACCAUUAUUGAUGAUAAAAAUUGGGAACAACUGAUCUGAUCGAUUCCUUAAUUCUUCCAACUAUAUUAUUAUAAUUUAAUUAAAUUUUAGGUGAAUGUAAAUCAUCACAAAGAAAAGAAUUGGCUCUAAUACCUUAGAUUUUUAAAGGCCUGUUUUAUAUCUUAUUUUCAUGGAAAAACGGUUGGGGGAAAAUUCAAAAAUUUAUUGGGAGAAUGAAGUGUUAAAGAGUGACACACAGUGGCGCCUUCAAAGAAAACCAAAAAUAUCUUUGUGGUUUGAGAAUUUUUUGGUAGUUAAAAGUAUAAAAUUCUUGGAUUGUAUCUGUGAUUUUGAGAGCACUAUAUGGCUUACCUUUAUUGAAUUCGCUGUUAAAAUUUAAGUUAAAUUAAUAGUUUGUGAAACUCCCCCAGGAGUUUCAAACGUGCCAAAUGAAUGUUGUGACAUUAGCAAUAGAAUGUAUCUCUUUGUGCUAAACUUGUUCAGCAUGUUUGCUAUUUUAUCUUAAACUUGGAAAUAUCUUCUGAAUAAUUAUUGCACAGUCACCUUGGAAUUGCCCAACAAAGCCACUCGUACUGGCGGGAAUGUUAUCUGAUAAAAAUUGUAUUUUUAUACUUGAACUUCAGCUUCUGUAUUUGCAACAAUUUUUUUUUGGAUGAUAUUUAUAAAAUAUGAAUGUUGCCACUAAUGCCUUUUCUUGUAUUUAAGUCAUGUGCCAGUAAGAAGCAGGUUUCUAGCACAGAAAAUAGGUACAGUUGAGCUGAUAUCUGCACAGUUUUCUAAUAUGCUGUAUCGCCAAAUGUGAACAUCGUGGUUUCAACGGGCAAGCAACCAUCAUCAGAAAACUCUGCAGGUAUCAGUGAAGCUGUCCCUGUUCCCCUUGCUGCCAACUUGUUCCUUUUGAGUGUAAGAAAUAACUUAGCUAAGCCAUGUGUUUAUCAUUUGUGCCAUUUUUCUCUUGUGUGUGAUUUAGAUUGUAUAGUUUUAUACUUUAUACUGAAUUCUUGCCAUAAACUUAGAUAUUCCCCUUGUAUGUAACAAGUAUUGAUCUUUUAAGCUCAGGAAUUGUUUCCAACAACCUUUUGUUUUAUGUUAUAGUCUUUAUCUGCAUUAAAGUAUUGGGGUUGUGGGGAGCAGUGUUGCAGCAUGGAGAAGAAAUAGAGCUGCACUGAUGAAUGCCCAGCUUUCCAUUAUGCUGUUUUGCUGAAUAUGAGGAACUUCCCCAGUCUGAUGUUUUCUUGUCUACUAAACAACUGCGGGUAUCAGUGUAGCUUUACCUAGUCUCUAUGCUGCUAACCUGCUUCUCACAACCCCAAGACUUAUAAGUUAAGCCAAUAUAUAUCAUAGUUUCUUGUAACUGAAUUAAAUUUGAAAUGAAAUAGCACAAUUUAUAACGAAACAAA